CUUUUAGUACUGAUUAAUAAUAAAAUUUAAUUUUUUGUUAAGCUUCCUAGAAAAGCUCGUAGUAUUUAUAUUGUCAAAUUACCUGUACCUUAAACCGACACAGGUAGGUGGGUAGAGUAUACCUAGGGGCGCGAGAUAACUCUCUCUAAGGAACUCGGCAAAAUGGCCCCGUAACUUCGGGAGAAGGGGUGCCUCUUUCAAAAGAGGCCGCAGUGACCAGGCCCAAGCGACUGUUUACCAAAAACACAGGUCUCCGCUAAGUCGUAAGACAACAUAUGGGGGCUGACGCCUGCCCAGUGCCGGAAGGUGAAGGAAGUUGGUUAUUCAUUAGAAGAAGCUAAUAACCGAAGCCCCGGUGAACGGCGGCCGUAACGAUGACGGUCCUAAGGUAGCGAAAUUCCUUGUCGGGUAAGUUCCGACCCGCACGAAAGGCGUAACGAUUUGGGCGCUGUCUCGGAGAGAGACUCGGUGAAAUAGACAUGUCCGUGAAGAUGCGGACUUCUUGCACCUGGACAGAAAGACCCUAUGAAGCUUGACUGUAGCUUGUAAUUGGGUUCGGGCUUUUUUUGCGCAGCCUAGGUGGGAGGCAUUGAUAAUUUUCUUCUGGGAAAAUUUGAGCCGUUCGUGAGAGACCACUCUGAAAGAGCUAGAAUCCUAAUAAUGAUCCUUGAAUCAGGACAUUUGACAGUUGCAGGUGGGCAGUUUGACUGGGGCGGUCGCCUCCUAAAAAGUAACGGAGGCGUGCAAAGGUUCCCUCAGGCUGGACGGAAAUCAGCUUAAGAGUGUAAAGGCAAAAGGGAGCUUGACUGCAAGACUUACAAGUCGAGCAGGGGCGAAAGCCGGCCUUAGUGAUCCGACGGUACCGCGUGGAAGGGCCGUCGCUCAACGGAUAAAGGUUACUCUAGGAUAACAGGCUGAUCUUCCCCAAGAGUUCACAUCGACGGGAAGGUUUGGCACCUCGAUGUCGGCUCAUCGCAACCUGGGGCGGUAGUACGUCCCAAGGGUUGGGCUGUUCGCCCAUGAAAGCGGUACGUGAGCUGGGUUCAGAACGUCGUGAGACAGUUCGGUCCAUAUCCGGUGUAAGCGUUAGAGUAUUGAGAAGAUUCUUUCAUUGUACGAGAGGACCUGAAAGAACGUACCACUAGUAUACCAGUUCUCGUUCCAACGGGAUACGCUGGGUAGCCAAGUACGGAGCGGAUAACUGCUGAAAGCAUCUAAGUAGGAAGCCCACUUCAAGAUGAGUACUCUCUUAAGAUCACGGUAAGACAAACCGGUUGAUAGGUAUCAGGUGAAAGAUUAGUAAUAGUUGAAGCUGAGAUAUACUAAUAGGUCGUAUGA
rnacentral:rRNA from 1 species